rnacentral:rRNA from 1 species
ACAGCAGCCGCCACGGGAAUACAGAGGGUGCGAGCGUUAAUCGGAUUUACUGGGCGUAAAGCGUGCGUAGGCGGCUUCUUAAGUCGGAUGUGAAAUCCCUGAGCUUAACUUAGGAAUUGCAUUCGAUACUGGGAAGCUAGAGUAUGGGAGAGGAUGGUAGAAUUCCAGGUGUAGCGGUGAAAUGCGUAGAGAUCUGGAGGAAUACCGAUGGCGAAGGCAGCCAUCUGGCCUAAUACUGACGCUGAGGUACGAAAGCAUGGGGAGCAAACAGGAUUAGAUACCCCGGUAGUCCCUGUCUCUUAUAA